AGGGCCGCGGUAUUUUGACCGUGCGAAGGUAGCAUAAUCAUUAGUCUUUUAAUUGGAGGCUUGUAUGAAUGGUUGGACGAGAAAUAAGCUGUUUUUUAAUUAAAAUUUUAAUUUAACUUUUAAGUGAAAAGGCUUAGAUUUUACAAAAAGACGAUAAGACCCUAUAAAUCUUUACAUUACUUUAAAAAUCAGAAUUAGUUAGAAGUAAAUUCUUAUUGGUUUUUAAUGGUGUUUUGUUGGGGCGACAUAAAUAGCUAACAAUCUGUUUUAAAAUUUUACAGAAUAUAUUUGAAUAAUAAUUUAAGAUCCUUAUUAUAGAUUGCAAGAUUAAGUUACUUUAGGGAUAACAGCGUAAUUUUAUUUAAGAGUUCUUAUCGAAAAUAAAGUUUGCGACCUCGAUGUUGAAUUAAAAUUUCUUUAUGGUGNANCAGCUAUAAAAGAAAGUCUGUUCGACUUU
rnacentral:rRNA from 1 species